ACCAAAAUAGCUCAGUUGGGAGAGCCUCUAAAGAUCGAAAAGUCCCUGGUUCGAUCCCUGGUUCCGGCA
rnacentral:tRNA from 1 species